rnacentral:rRNA from 1 species
GACGUAGGGCGCGAGCGUUGUCCGGAUUUAUUGGGCGUAAAGAGCUCGUAGGCGGCUCGUUGCGUCGGCUGUGAAAACCCGCAGCUCAACUGUGGGCUUGCAGCUGAUACGGGCGGGCUGGGAUUCGGUAGAGGAGACUGGAAUUCAUGGUGUAGCAGUGAAAUGCGUAGAGAUCAUGAGGAAGACCAGUGGCGAAGGCGGGUCUCUGGACAGUUCCUGACACUGAGGCACGAAGGCCAGGGGAGCAAACGGG